GUUAAGAGGGAAGCGAGAACAAAGAACAAAUCUAUCUCUUUUUUUUUGUCAAACAAGAUCUUCAUUCAUUCAAUCCUCAAAAGAAGGAGGUUCAUACACAAAGACAUAAGAUAAUACAAUGAAAUUAAAGAUAGGGGCUUCAUGAGUUUUUCAAAGAGAUGUGUACUUUUAAAAAAAGCUUACAAGGAUUGAAAGAUUCGACCAUGAAGUCGGGCUUGGCGAAAUCCUUGCAAACAAUGCAUCCGAGCUUUUGAUCAUGUGCUCCACGGAGGAGGAUGUUGGGUUGGUGAGGUUGAAAAGGAAACGGUAACCAACUCUAAAAGACAUGGUCAUAAUGCCGUACUUUUCCAAACAAACAGAAGGUUGCAAAUUAUCCAAGCAAAAGAUUAAUACAUGACUGACCUUGAUAAUUGGUGUAUGGGUAGAUAGAGAGUUGUAGAGGCUUCGGUAACACCUACUCCGUAGAAAUAGGGUCAUAAUGCCGGUACUCUUAACUCUAAAAAGCAAAUGACUAUGGUUGGGUAAACUAGUCUCGGAAAGGGUCCAAAGGAAACCAAGCAAAUGACUAUGGUUGGGUAAAUUAGCGUGGCGUCCAUAACCAGCCAUAUCAGAGACAAAGGGUGCUAAAGGGAGGGAACCUGACAGGAUAUUAGCGAUACUUCACACGGGCAACAACAAUCUAGGACACUUCCAAAGAGAAACUACUUCCAAACUACUUGAGAUCAGACUCGGACAAUCACGCAAACGGACCACACGAUAAGAACUAGCAACCAGGUUUUGUGAAAGAUAGCAACUAAUCCAAACUAAAUCCAUCAUCACCAUUACAGGAAGGCGUCCAUAACAAUCCCUAAACGAUGACAGUUUCAGAAAAUUUGGGCUGUUCAGAAUAGAAUUAAAACAAGACCAGGGCCUUAGAAGACGUGGGCAUAAGUCAGCAGAAGUCUUUGUGGGCUUCAAAGCUUUGGGUAAAGGACAGGAGGGAGGGCAAAGGAGGCUUGGGCUUGGCCCAAACCGAAGACCCAUUAGGUUUAGCCAGGUUCUUCUCUUCCUCACCAAAAGCGGCGGUGGCACAACUGAAUGCAACAUUCUGGUGACCGAAUUGAGGGCUUCUAAGACUAAAACGACCACAUCGAGAGGUGCGAGUGAUGAAUCUCGGUCUGCAGAAGAAGAUUCUUUUGUGAUUUGAAGCCUCCACAGUUUCCACGUCGAGGCCGAGCUCUCAUCCAUUGAGGACCAAAGAGUUGCUGAUCUUGACUUUAAGGAAAGCCGAGGAGAGGGAUCCACGAGAAUCGCGAACAAGGUAAGAGAAGAGCUAAUACCAGAUGGGAGUAGUUUCGAAGGUUGUGCGGUAAUGAAGCUUUAUGGAUCUAAUAGGAGGGAAAAGAGACGAAACAACACGAAACAAAAAACAGAGAAACCGAUGAGAGAGCUUAUGGGAGGAAACCGGUGAGAAGAAGCUAGCUCCUGGCACCGACGAGCUAACGCUCUACCGGUGCCAGAAAAAAUUGAUGAAAAGGCUGUCUCAAAAAUCACGUCUGGGAGAGAAGCUCUUGAAUCUUCCUAUCUAUUUAGAAAUAGGAAGUAAUGCUUAAUUAAGAUGUAGAAGCCGAGUAUUUCCUUACAUCUAUAGGAGAUCUAUUCAACAUGGACUCAGUUAGUUUUUUUUCUUUUUUGGGUAUUAAUUAUAUUGUUGUUAUUUUGUGAGCUAAUUUUUCUUCUUUCUUUCUUUUUUGUGUGUGAAUAUCUUUUAGUCGUCUGCGUUUUUUUCUCUAAUUUAAAUUGUAAAAUCUCUUAAAAAUAUAAUUAGAUUUCGUGAAAAUACUAAACAAUUUCACAUCCGGCUAGUUAUUUUAUCCUCA